rnacentral:rRNA from 1 species
UACGUAGGGUGCGAGCGUUGUCCGGAAUUAUUGGGCGUAAAGAGCUCGUAGGCGGUCUGUCGCGUCUGCUGUGAAAUCCCGAGGCUCAACCUCGGGCUUGCAGUGGGUACGGGCAGGCUAGAGUGCGGUAGGGGAGAAUGGAACUCCUGGUGUAGCGGUGGAAUGCGCAGAUAUCAGGAAGAACACCGAUGGCGAAAGCAGUUCUCUGGGCCGUAACUGACGCUGAGGAGCGAAAGCGUGGGGAGCGAACAGG